UCCCCUGAUUGCCAUGUGUGUUUUUAAGCCCUGUGUUUUCUGGUGUGCAUGGCUGGUUUGUCUGCGUUAUUUGGUGUUUUCUGGUCUGUGUAUCUCCCUCCGUCAUCCUGUGAAUUUUCCCUGCAAGUUGCUUUCACUUGUGUUCAGAGCAAUGUAUAUUCAGCUUUAAGAGCCAACAGGAGGCCAUAGAGAGAGCAAAUAACUCACACACAGUAUGGCCUAGUGUCAGCAGGCUUUACAACAAGUGUGGACAAAGCUUUAUCAGUGUCUGCAGCACUGGAGACUGGCACUGUCUGUGGAGAAUAUGCUAUUGCUGAAUACUCUGAGGUGAAAACAGUGAUGAUCAAAGUGAAAGAAACCAUCGGAGAAGAACUGGGAAAAUCGAGUGCUCUGCACUUCCUGUCGCAUGAGACCACAUCACAAUUCUCUAACACCCAUACUGUUCACUCCAAGUAUUCCAAAUCUUCAACCCUAUUUAUAGUUUGGUAUGUUUGUAGACUGCCAGUUCACCUUUGAACCUGUAGUUAAGGUUUCUUAGUCAGAAACUCAGUUAUUCUCCACGGGAAAAGUACAAGAAACAGAUAUGAUCUUCUGUCAUGUGACUACAUAGAUGUGUCUGUAAACCUUGUCUGUUCUUUUCCUUACAGAAGGUUUUAUGAGAGACACAAACAAAUAAAACAUCCACUCAUCCAAAGUCAUUUGUUUUUAUUUGGGAGACUGGGCAGAAAUACCAUUCAUUUACAGUAUUCCUGAUGUAUGCAAAUUGACUUUUUUGUUCUGACCCAAUUUAAUCUAAUAUAAAUAUUUGCUGCUGAGGAAGAUGUUCAUU